rnacentral:rRNA from 1 species
AGUGAACGCUGGCGGUAGGCCUAACACAUGCAAGUCGAACGGCAGCACAGUAAGAGCUUGCUCUUACGGGUGGCGAGUGGCGUACGGGUGAGGAAUACAUCGGAAUCUACUUUUUCGUGGGGGAUAACGUAGGGAAACUUACGCUAAUACCGCAUACGACCUACGGGUGAAAGCAGGGGAUCUUCGGACCUUGCGCGAUUGAAUGAGCCGAUGUCGGAUUAGCUAGUUGGCGGGGUAAAGGCUCACCAAGGCGACGAUCCGUAGCUGGUCUGAGAGGAUGAUCAGCCACACUGGAACUGAGACACGGUCCAGACUCCUACGGGAGGCAGCAGUGGGGAAUAUUGGACAAUGGGCGCAAGCCUGAUCCAGCCAUACCGCGUGGGUGAAGAAGGCCUUCGGGUUGUAAAGCCCUUUUGUUGGGAAAGAAAAGCAGCAGGUUAAUACCCCGCUGUUCUGACGGUACCCAAAGAAUAAGCACCGGCUAACUUCGUG